AACGAACGCUGGCGGCAGGCCUAACACAUGCAAGUCGAACGAGAAAGCACCUUCGGGUGUGAUUAGAGUGGCGCACGGGUGAGUAACGCGUGGGAACCUACCCUGAGGUACGGAAUAACAGCUGGAAACGGCUGCUAAUACCGUAUGUGCCCUAAGGGGGAAAGAUUUAUCGCCUUAGGAUGGGCCCGCGUCGGAUUAGCUAGUUGGUGAGGUAAUGGCUCACCAAGGCUCCGAUCCGUAGCUGGUCUGAGAGGAUGAUCAGCCACACUGGAACUGAGACACGGUCCAG
rnacentral:rRNA from 1 species